UCCGAGUUGACCCCGGCAGUCUCUUAUGAGUCCCCACCACGACGUGCUGGCAACAUAAGACGAGGGUUGCGCUCGUUGCGGGACUUAACCCAACAUCUCACGACACGAGCUGACGACAGCCAUGCACCACCUGUAUAGAGCCCUUACGGACCCCCCCAUCUCUGGAGGAUUUCUCUAUAUGUCAAACCCAGGUAAGGUUCUUCGCGUUGCAUCGAAUUAAUCCGCAUGCUCCGCCGCUUGUGCGGGCCCCCGUCAAUUCUUUUGAGUUUUAGCCUUGCGGCCGUACUCCCCAGGCGGAACACUUAACGCGUUGGCUGCGGCACAGGAGGAUUCGACUCCCCCCACACCUAGUGUUCAUCGUUUACGGCUAGGACUAC
rnacentral:misc_RNA from 1 species